GCCUGAUUGGACGAGUGGCUAAGUCGCUCCUCUCACAUAACACCACUUCCUACCCUAUCUAGGAAGUGGUGCUUCACGAGGUACAGGAGAGAUCAGAGGUUCGAACCCUCUAUUAGGCA